rnacentral:snoRNA from 20 species
CACUAGCACAUAUGUCAAAUUCCUAAUUAACGUUAUAUUUAUUAUCCGUCGUUUCUUAGAGCCGUAAUUGUGCUGAUAUCAAACUCCAGGGAAGGACACACAGCAAGCGAUUGCUGGGCCCACCUCGCGCCCCUGGCAUCUUUCUCCGCCACGGGCGUGUCCGGGCCUUCUUCCCAUACCC